GAUGAACGCUGGCGGCGUGCUUAACACAUGCGAGUCGAACGGUGAAGGCGGAGCUUGCUCUGCUGGAUCAGUGGCGAACGGGUGAGUAACACGUGAGCAAUCUGCCCCUGACUCUGGGAUAAGCGCUGGAAACGGCGUCUAAUACUGGAUACGAGCUGCGAAGGCAUCUUCAGCAGCUGGAAAGAACUUCGGUCAGGGAUGAGCUCGCGGCCUAUCAGCUUGUUGGUGAGGUAACGGCUCACCAAGGCGUCGACGGGUAGCCGGCCUGAGAGGGUGACCGGCCACACUGGGACUGAGACACGGCCCAGACUCCUAUGGGAGGCAGCAGUGGGGAAUAUUGCACAAUGGGCGAAAGCCUGAUGCAGCAACGCCGCGUGAGGGACGACGGCCUUCGGGUUGUAAACCUCUUUUAGCAGGGAAGAAGCGAAAGUGACGGUACCUGCAGAAAAAGCGCCGGCUAACUACGUG
rnacentral:rRNA from 1 species